GUUGCAGGGUAUAGACCCGAAACCCGGUGAUCUAGCCAUGGGCAGGUUGAAGGUUGGGUAACACUAACUGGAGGACCGAACCGACUAAUGUUGAAAAAUUAGCGGAUGACCUGUGGCUGGGGGUGAAAGGCCAAUCAAACCGGGAGAUAGCUGGUUCUCCCCGAAAGCUAUUUAGGUAGCGCCUCGUGAAUUCAUCUCCGGGGGUAGAGCACUGUUUCGGCUAGGGGGCCAUCCCGGCUUACCAACCCGAUGCAAACUGCGAAUACCGGAGAAUGUUAUCACGGGAGACACACGGCGGGUGCUAACGUCCGUCGUGAAGAGGGAAACAACCCAGACCGCCAGCUAAGGUCCCAAAGUCAUGGUUAAGUGGGAAACGAUGUGGGAAGGCCCAGACAGCCAGGAUGUUGGCUUAGAAGCAGCCAUCAUUUAAAGAAAGCGUAAUAGCUCACUGGUCGAGUCGGCCUGCGCGGAAGAUGUAACGGGGCUAAACCAUGCACCGAAGCUGCGGCAGCGACGCUGAUGCGUUGUUGGGUAGGGGAGCGUUCUGUAAGCCUGCGAAGGUGUGUCGUGAGGCAUGCUGGAGGUAUCAGAAGUGCGAAUGCUGACAUAAGUAACGAUAAAGCGGGUGAAAAGCCCGCUCGCCGGAAGACCAAGGGUUCCUGUCCAACGUUAAUCGGGGCAGGGUGAGUCGACCCCUAAGGCGAGGCCGAAAGGCGUAGUCGAUGGGAAACGGGUUAAUAUUCCCGUACUUGGUGUUACUGCGAAGGGGGGACGGAGAAGGCUAUGUUGGCCGGGCGACGGUUGUCCCGGUUUAAGCGUGUAGGUGUGUGUUCCAGGUAAAUCCGGUUCACUUUAACACUGAGGCGUGAUGACGAGGCACUACGGUGCUGAAGCAACAAAUGCCCUGCUUCCAGGAAAAGCCUCUAAGCAUCAGGUAACAUCAAAUCGUACCCCAAACCGACACAGGUGGUCAGGUAGAGAAUACCAAGGCGCUUGAGAGAACUCGGGUGAAGGAACUAGGCAAAAUGGUGCCGUAACUUCGGGAGAAGGCACGCUGACACGUAGGUGAAGUGAUUUACUCAUGGAGCUGAAGUCAGUCGAAGAUACCAGCUGGCUGCAACUGUUUAUUAAAAACACAGCACUGUGCAAACACGAAAGUGGACGUAUACGGUGUGACGCCUGCCCGGUGCCGGAAGGUUAAUUGAUGGGGUCAGCGCAAGCGAAGCUCCUGAUCGAAGCCCCGGUAAACGGCGGCCGUAACUAUAACGGUCCUAAGGUAGCGAAAUUCCUUGUCGGGUAAGUUCCGACCUGCACGAAUGGCGUAAUGAUGGCCAGGCUGUCUCCACCCGAGACUCAGUGAAAUUGAACUCGCUGUGAAGAUGCAGUGUACCCGCGGCAAGACGGAAAGACCCCGUGAACCUUUACUAUAGCUUGACACUGAACAUUGAGCCUUGAUGUGUAGGAUAGGUGGGAGGCUUUGAAGUGUGGACGCCAGUCUGCAUGGAGCCGGCCUUGAAAUACCACCCUUUAAUGUUUGAUGUUCUAACGUGGACCCGUGAUCCGGGUUGCGGACAGUGUCUGGUGGGUAGUUUGACUGGGGCGGUCUCCUCCUAAAGAGUAACGGAGGAGCACGAAGGUUGGCUAAUCCUGGUCGGACAUCAGGAGGUUAGUGCAAUGGCAUAAGCCAGCUUGACUGCGAGCGUGACGGCGCGAGCAGGUGCGAAAGCAGGUCAUAGUGAUCCGGUGGUUCUGAAUGGAAGGGCCAUCGCUCAACGGAUAAAAGGUACUCCGGGGAUAACAGGCUGAUACCGCCCAAGAGUUCAUAUCGACGGCGGUGUUUGGCACCUCGAUGUCGGCUCAUCACAUCCUGGGGCUGAAGUAGGUCCCAAGGGUAUGGCUGUUCGCCAUUUAAAGUGGUACGCGAGCUGGGUUUAGAACGUCGUGAGACAGUUCGGUCCCUAUCUGCCGUGGGCGCUGGAGAACUGAGGGGGGCUGCUCCUAGUACGAGAGGACCGGAGUGGACGCAUCACUGGUGUUCGGGUUGUCAUGCCAAUGGCACUGCCCGGUAGCUAAAUGCGGAAGAGAUAAGUGCUGAAAGCAUCUAAGCACGAAACUUGCCCCGAGAUGAGUUCUCCCUGAGACUUAGAGUCUCCUGAAGGAACGUUGAAGACGACGACGUUGAUAGGCCGGGUGUGUAAGCGCAGCGAUGCGUUGAGCUAACCGGUACUAAUGAACCGUGAGGCUUAACCUU
rnacentral:rRNA from 1 species